rfam:Desulfobacteraceae bacterium IS3 Ga0073107_10004, whole genome shotgun sequence.
ACACCGGCUGUUUUACAGCCACAGAUUUUUUGACAGAAGAUUUGU